AGUCACCAUGACAACCAGCAGAAGAACGUUGGGCCAGAAAAAAGCAUUGAGCUUGAGGGACUAGACUAAUCAAAAAAUGGAAUAACAUGGCAACAAUUACACUGAUGAGUGAGAGGGAAGCGGCACAUGCAUUCAGACACCUAUGGCAUCGCAGGCUCCGCGCAUUCAGCGUUUCGUGUUUAGGGCCUUGUGUUUUUGAGAGCAGGUGAGAACAACAGCAUGACUGGAAUGGCGAUAGCCACUUCUAAAAUGUCCAUUUAUUCAUAGCUCAUCUACUUCUCAAAAAGAAAUUGUGACUCAUGAGGGGCUGUUGUGUUCACCAUAGCACCAGGCCUGGGAGCAUUGGGGAAGCUCAAAACUGUCUGUUGAACAAAAGGAGAGAAGAGCCAUGGAAGCCAUCUAUACUAUGUUGUCUUGAUCCUUCAUGCAAAAUCAGAGACAAAUCUCACUUCUGGGCUGCUUACUUAAUGGGUUGUCUCCUACCCUUGCUGCAGGAAUGCUGUUCACAAUGGACCGAUGGACAUUUUAUUGAAAAAAGAAUAGAGCCAGAGAAGCUAAGCUUUUAUCUACCACCAUGGAAACAGGCGAAUCAUGGUUUCUCAAAGUCCUAACCUCAAUAAGCAUCCCAAACUGACAAUUGACGUUAGAGGAAGUCGAGGAUAGAGUGAUAACCUGGAAUCACCAAUAAAAGUUAUUGUAACUGAUUUAUUUUCAUCGUGUUUUCUGGGAUUUCAGAUUAGCUUGUGUUCAGAGGAUCUAUGCUAAACCAUUGACAGACUUAAGUUGAUAUGACUGUGUCUCAUAUAAGAAUUAUAGCCAGAUUUUCAUGUUUGAGCAAUUUUAGAAAACAA